GGUGGUUUGCUGCACCCAUCAACCCAUCAUCUACAUUAGCAAUUUUUAGGACUUUUCCUCCUGUUGGAAAUUUGAUGAGCAUGAAGAAAAAGCUUAAUGGAAGAAACAAAUCCGAGGAGAGAGUUUAUGGAAAAUGGAGAAAGGACAAUGAGAACCGACAAAGAUUGAAUAAGAGAGAGUAAAGAACAAGAUGAACAGAUAAUAACUCAGAGACCAGAAUGAACUUAUAAAAUAAGGCAAGAGAAUUUUAAGUACAAUCUAUUUGAAAAAUAGACAAAAAGGUGUAAGACCUUAUAUUCACUAAAACUUUUACAAUCUUUUAAAAUACAGUAUCUAUUUUCAUUUUGGAAACCAAAAUUAAUAUAACAAUGAUUAUCUGUUGAGGACACCAUUUCAACCUUUAGAACUGUAUGUAACAUAAAGUUGGAAACAUAUGAAGAUGAUCAAAUAGGAAAACCAGAACUCUCUUAAUCUUUGGUUUUUUUAACUGAAUAAUGCAGUUGAUUACUCUAAAAUUCUAAAUCCUACCAUAUUGCAGAAAUAAUAAUAGCAAAAGGAAAAAAAUCAUUUAUUAAAUUUUUACUAAGUAUAAGGAAUUUCUAAAUUGUCCCAUGUAAAAUGUCCAUGACUUUAUGUGAUAGAUACUGUAAUCACCAUUUUACAGAUGAGAAAACAGAGUUUAAAAGACUUGUCUAAUAGCAUACUAUGGUAAAGGCUACAGCCAGGAACAUACGGGCACUCAAGGGAUUUUGAGAGGGAAUUUAAAUUUAUUUGCUUUGGCAAAAUUGUUUCUCAUUUGAUACCUAAUUAUACUUUCAAUGCAAAUGGUUUGUUUAGAAACAAUUGCAAUAGGUUAGCUAGAUUAGCUUAAACCUGCUAUCUACAACCUUUAGCUUUCUCUUUUUUUUUUUUUUUAAACAAGGUCUGGUCUUGCCC